rnacentral:rRNA from 1 species
GCUUAUUCUGUUGGUAACGUCAAAACAGCAAGGUAUUAACUUACUGCCCUUCCUCCCAACUUAAAGUGCUUUACAAUCCGAAGACCUUCUUCACACACGCGGCAUGGCUGGAUCAGGCUUUCGCCCAUUGUCCAAUAUUCCCCACUGCUGCCUCCCGUAGGAGUCUGGACCGUGUCUCAGUUCCAGUGUGACUGAUCAUCCUCUCAGACCAGUUACGGAUCGUCGCCUUGGUAGGCCUUUACCCCACCAACUAGCUAAUCCGACCUAGGCUCAUCUGAUAGCGUGAGGUCCGAAGAUCCCCCACUUUCUCCCUCAGGACGUAUGCGGUAUUAGCGCCCGUUUCCGGACGUUAUCCCCCACUACCAGGCAGAUUCCUAGGCAUUACUCACCCGUCCGCCGCUGAAUCCAGGAGCAAGCUCCCUUCAUCCGCUCGACUUGCAUGUGUUAGGCCUGCCGCCAGCGUUCAAUCUGAGCCAGGAUCA